rnacentral:rRNA from 1 species
CACGUGGAUAACCUGCCCUAAGGUGGAGCAUAACCCCGGGAAACUGGGGAUAAUACUCCAUAGGUUAUGGAUGCUGGAAUGCUUCAUAACUCAAAGCUCCGGCGCCUUAGGAUGGAUCUGCGGUCGAUUAGGUUGUUGUUGGGGUAACGGCCCAACAAGCCUGUAAUCGAUACGGGUUGUGGGAGCAAGAGCCCGGAGAUGGAAUCUGAGACACGAUUCCAGGCCCUACGGGGCGCAGCAGGCGCGAAAACUUUACAAUGCAGGAAACUGUGAUAAGGGAACCCCGAGUGCCCGUAUACGCGGGCUGUCCAGGUGUGUAAAAAGCACCUGAAGAAAGGGCCGGGCAAGACCGGUGCCAGCCGCCGCGGUAAUACCGGCGGCUCGAGUGGUGGCCACUUUUAUUGGGCUUAAAGCGUCCGUAGCUGGACUCCUAAGUCCCUUGGGAAAUCUCUUGGCUUAACCAAGAGGCGUCUAAGAGAUACUGGGAGUCUAGGGACCGGGAGAGGUGAGAGGUACUCCGGGGGUAGGAGUGAAAUCCUGUAAUCCCCGGGGGACCACCUGUGGCGAAGGCGUCUCACCAGAACGGCUCCGACAGUGAGGGACGAAAGCUGG